rnacentral:rRNA from 1 species
GUCGAGGAUUUUUCUCAAUGGGGGAAACCCUGAAGGAGCGACGCCGCGUGGGGGAUGAAGGUCUUCGGAUUGUAAACCCCUGUCAUGCGGGAUCAAAGCUUACGACCUAACACGUCGUGAGUUGAUAGUACUGCAAGAGGAAGACGUGGCUAACUCUGUGCCAGCAGCCGCGGUAAUACAGAGACGUCAAGCGUUGUUCGGAUUCAUUGGGCGUAAAGGGUCCGCAGGCGGUCGGAUAAGUCGGAUGUGAAAUCUCGAGGCUUAACCUCGAUGGGUCAUUCGAAACUGUUCGGCUAGAGGAGUGGAGAGGAGACUGGAAUGGCUGGUGUAGCGGUGAAAUGCGUAGAGAUCAGCCAGAACACCCGUGGCGAAGGCGGGUCUCUGGACACUUCCUGACGCUCAGGGACGAAAGCCAGGGGAGCAAACGGGAUUAGAUACCCUGGUAGUCC